rnacentral:rRNA from 1 species
UUAAGUCCCGCAACGAGCGCAACCCUCACUUUUAGUUGCCAUCAUUAAGUUGGGCACUCUGAAAGAACUGCCAGUGAUAAGCUGGAGGAAGGUGGGGAUGACGUCAAGUCCUCAUGGCCCUUACGUGUUGGGCUACACACGUGCUACAAUGGUAUCUACAACAGGAAGCAAGACUGCGAGGUCAAGCAAAUCCUUAAAAGAUACCUCAGUUCGGAUUGCACUCUGCAACUCGAGUGCAUGAAGCUGGAAUUACUAGUAAUCGUGGAUCAGCGUGCCACGGUGAAUGCGUUCCCGGGUCUU